UACGUAGGGGGCGAGCGUUGUCCGGAUUCAUUGGGCGUAAAGCGCGCGUAGGCGGCUUCGCAAGUCGGCCGUGAAAUCUCCGGGCUCAACUCGGAGGGGUCGGGCGAGACUGCGAGGCUCGAGGUGGGCAGAGGGCAGUGGAAUUCCGGGUGUAGUGGUGGAAUGCGUAGAGAUCCGGAGGAACACCAGUGGCGAAGGCGGCUGCCUGGGCCUGGCCUGACGCUGAGGCGCGAAAGCCAGGGGAGCGAACGGG
rnacentral:rRNA from 1 species